AGCGAACGUUUGCGGCGGGCUUAACACAUGCAAGUCGAACGAGAAUCCCUUCGGGGAGGAAAGUGGCGCACGGGUGCGUAACACGUGGAUAACCAACCCAUUGGUUUGGGACAACACCGGGAAACUGGUGCUAAUACCAGAUGUGUCGCAGCUGUCUUCAGGCGGUUGCGAGAAAGGCCCGCAAGGGUCGCCAACGGACGGGUCCGCGUCCCAUCAGCUAGUUGGUGAGGUAAUGGCUCACCAAGGCAAAGACGGGUAGCUGGUCUGAGAGGAUGAUCAGCCACACUGGAACUGAGACACGGUCCAGACUCCUACGGGAGGCAGCAGUGGGGAAUAUUGCGCAAUGGGCGAAAGCCUGACGCAGCCACGCCGCGUGAGCGAUGAAGGUCUUCGGAUCGUAAAGCUCUGUGGGGGGAGAAGAAGAAAGCCGGUGAAGAGCCGGCCCUGACGGUAUCCCCUUAGCAAGCACCGGCUAACUCCGUGCCAGCAGCCGCGGUAAAGUA
rnacentral:rRNA from 1 species